rnacentral:rRNA from 1 species
UACGUAGGGUGCAAGCGUUAUCCGGAAUUACUGGGCGUAAAGAGCUCGUAGGCGGUUUGUCGCGUCGUCUGUGAAAACUCGAGGCUCAACCUCGAGCUUGCAGGCGAUACGGGCAGACUUGAGUACUGCAGGGGAGACUGGAAUUCCUGGUGUAGCGGUGAAAUGCGCAGAUAUCAGGAGGAACACCGGUGGCGAAGGCGGGUCUCUGGGCAGUAACUGACGCUGAGGAGCGAAAGCGUGGGUAGCGAACAGG